UGCAAUAUUAGGCCCUAGGGGUUUAUGAUUACCUAGACUACAAAUACCGUGAUGGGUGAGGACUAUGGGAACUUCAUAGAUAACUGUCUCUGUUAAUCGUUACGGAGGAGGAUGGUUUUGUCUCUGGUGCCCCUUAAGAAAAUGGCUUUGCUUUGAGUUCUAUAGUAUCUCUUUUAAAAUAGAACACACUGCUAAAAAGACAAAUCUAAAACUUAAAUUGAAAUUGGAAAUUACAAU